GACGAACGCUGGCGGCGUGCUUAACACAUGCAAGUCGAACGGAAAGGCCCUGCUUUUGUGGGGUGCUCGAGUGGCGAACGGGUGAGUAACACGUGAGUAACCUGCCCUUGACUUUGGGAUAACUUCAGGAAACUGGGGCUAAUACCGGAUAGGAGCUCCUGCUGCAUGGUGGGGGUUGGAAAGUUUCGGCGGUUGGGGAUGGACUCGCGGCUUAUCAGCUUGUUGGUGGGGUAGUGGCUUACCAAGGCUUUGACGGGUAGCCGGCCUGAGAGGGUGACCGGCCACAUUGGGACUGAGAUACGGCCCAGACUCCUACGGGAGGCAGCAGUGGGGAAUAUUGCACAAUGGGCGGAAGCCUGACGCAGCAACGCCGCGUGCGGGAUGACGGCCUUCGGGUUGUAAACCGCUUUCGCCUGUGACGAAGCGUGAGUGACGGUAAUGGGUAAAGAAGCACCGGCUAACUACGUGCCAGCAGCCGCGGUGAUACGUAGGGUGCGAGCGUUGUCCGGAUUUAUUGGGCGUAAAGGGCUCGUAGGUGGUUGAUCGCGUCGGAAGUGUAAUCUUGGGGCUUAACCCUGAGCGUGCUUUCGAUACGGGUUGACUUGAGGAAGGUAGGGGAGAAUGGAAUUCCUGGUGGAGCGGUGGAAUGCGCAGAUAUCAGGAGGAACACCAGUGGCGAAGGCGGUUCUCUGGGCCUUUCCUGACGCUGAGGAGCGAAAGCGUGGGGAGCGAACAGGCUUAGAUACCCUGGUAGUCCACGCUGUAAACGGUGGGUACUAGGUGUGGGGUCCAUUCCACGGGUUCCGUGCCGUAGCUAACGCUUUAAGUACCCCGCCUGGGGAGUACGGCCGCAAGGCUAAAACUCAAAGGAAUUGACGGGGCCCCGCACAAGCGGCGGAGCAUGCGGAUUAAUUCGAUGCAACGCGUAGAACCUUACCUGGGUUUGACAUGGAUCGGGAGUGCUCAGAGAUGGGUGUGCCUCUUUUGGGGUCGGUUCACAGGUGGUGCAUGGCUGUCGUCAGCUCGUGUCGUGAGAUGUUGGGUUAAGUCCCGCAACGAGCGCAACCCUUGUUCACUGUUGCCAGCACGUUAUGGUGGGGACUCAGUGGAGACCGCCGGGGUCAACUCGGAGGAAGGUGGGGAUGACGUCAAGUCAUCAUGCCCCUUAUGUCCAGGGCUUCACGCAUGCUACAAUGGCUGGUACAGAGAGUGGCGAGCCUGUGAGGGUGAGCGAAUCUCGGAAAGCCGGUCUCAGUUCGGAUUGGGGUCUGCAACCCGACCUCAUGAAGUCGGAGUCGCUAGUAAUCGCAGAUCAGCAACGCUGCGGUGAAUACGUUCCCGGG
rnacentral:rRNA from 1 species